rnacentral:rRNA from 1 species
AACUUGAGAGUUUGAUCCUGGCUCAGAACGAACGCUGGCGGCAGGCUUAACACAUGCAAGUCGAACGCGUGUAGCAAUACACGAGUGGCGCACGGGUGAGUAACGCGUGGAUAUCUGCCUUUUGGUUCGGAAUAACCCCGGGAAA